GAUUAAUACCUGAUGGUCUCAAUUGUAUGCAUGUAAGAUUGAGUAAAGCCUUCGGGCGGUGAUGGAUGGCGGUGCGUCCCAUUAGGAAGUUGGCGGGGUAACGGCCCACCAAUCCUUCGAUGGGUAGGGGUUCUGAGAGGAAGGUCCCCCACAUUGGAACUGAGAUACGGUCCAAACUCCUACGGGAGGCAGCAGUGAGGAAUAUUGGUCAAUGGGCGAGAGCCUGAACCAGCCAAGUAGCGUGCGGGAUGAAGGCCCUUGUGGUCGUAAACCGCUUUUAUCAGUGAAUAAAGUGCAUCACGUGUGGUGUCAUUGCAGGUAGCUGAAGAAAAAGGACCGGCUAAUUCCGUGCCAGCAGCCGCGGUAAUACGGAAGGUCCGGGCGUUAUCCGGAAUUAUUGGGUUUAAAGGGAGCGCAGGCGGGAGUGUAAGUCAGCUGUUAAAUAUCAGGGCCCAACUCUGUUAUGCAGUUGAAACUAUAUUUCUUGAGUACGCACAGGGAUGGCGGAAUUCAUGGUGUAGCGGUGAAAUGCUUAGAUAUCAUGAAGAACUCCGAUCGCGAAGGCAGCCAUCCGGAGCGUAACUGACGCUGAGGCUCGAAG
rnacentral:rRNA from 1 species